UGCACUUCUUCGAUCUUCCCACAAAUGUGGCCACUACUGCUUAGCAACCAGGGGAACAUGACAGCAGACAGCAAAAUCCUCUCCCCAUAGCUCACCCUGUUCCAUCUCCACAUCAUAAAGUAUCUUUCAUAGCCAAUUAAGAGGAAUGCAUGUUGUGUGGCCACAGAGAGACUGAGUGGGACCUCAGGGGUGGCAUGGGCUGAGCUGGGGUCUCUGCUAGGUGCAUGCAUGGAGAGCAAAUUCAACAAACUGAUGACUGAAAGACCCCGAUAUAUGUGGGUAUAACAGCUCCCCAAAGGCUUAUGGCAACUAAUAUUUGAAAAGAACAGGGAAAAGGAGGAGAAAAAAGGGAGAGAAGUGAAGGAAGAGAAAGAAAGAAGAAAAGAAAGAGCUGAAUAUCAAGGCGAUGGGGAACAGAAGAGCUUUAUGCCGCGGCAUAAAGCCCUCAGCACUCCAGCCGCCCAAACCGCCAAGACCGGAGGGGAGGGCCAAGAGCUCGCGAGCAGCACCAAGAGAGCAAAGUCCAGACGAAACCCCGCUAAGCAGCCGGGAAAGCAGCUACUCACUCACUUCUCCCAUGCCACAGCAGUCCUUGUUAAUGCCAGUCAUGAAAUACUGCUGUCUAAGGAGCUGCUUCACUGGUGCCUCUGCAGUAAGCCAAGAUCAGCAUCAUUCCCAAUGCUUACAAACAGUCAUCUCAGAGACUGCAGCAAGCCUUGCGCAAAGUCAGCUGCUCUACAGAGCCAAAGAAGUCCCUGCUACAGAACCUUCCUCAUCCCCUGAGCAACGGGAUUGAAACAUUGUCCUCGAGAGCUAAGGCUGGUAUCCUUAAUUCUGCAGGAAAAAACACAUCUUUAUUCUUCCUUCUCACAUUCAGAUUGACUCAUUAAUAAAAAAGAGAAUCUGGACUAUCAUCUGACCGUAGCAACAGAAUUUUUUUCAUUUUCUAUCUACUUUUCAGAUUGUUGUUAACACCGAAUCUCCAAUAUGCAUUGUAGUUUUAGCAACACAUUGCGAUUGGCAACAUUCAAUACCCGCCUAUGCUUAAUUUUCUCUGAACAAAAUGCUUUUCCUGUGAACAUUAUAGUAAAGUAUGAUCUUUCAUAUACUUAUAAUUUUUUAUAAGAUUUAAAAUAUUGAAACAACUAUCAGGGACAUUUUAAGUAAGCCUGAAAGGAUGAACAGUCCCAGCUCCCUCAGCCGCUCCUCAUAAGGCCUGUGCUCCAGACCCCUCACCAGCUUUGGUGCCCUUCUCUGGACAUGCUCCUGGGCCUCGAUGUCUUUCUUGUAUUGAGGAGCCCAAAAGCGAACACAGUACUCAAGGUGUGACCUCACCAGUGCUGAGUACAGAGUAAUCUUAUUUCAGAUUCAUGAAAAAAAAUAGCCUGGAAUUUAUUUAUUUAUGCCCAGUGGCUUACUGGCAAGAACAUCAUGAAAGUGUUCAACACAUUCCACAAAAACAUGGAAAAGAAAAAUGUGUAUGCAUCUACCUGGUAUUUUCCUCUAGGUCACCAAAAAGGAGAAGUCUGAACUUAGACCUGUCUAUACAGCCAGCAGCUCUGAUCUUUGUUGAGCAGCCAACUGAUAACCACAAGCCACUAUUCCACAGGCAUCAUCAAUGUAAUUCAACUUUUUUUUGUUGUGCAGAUUGCAGUGCUGUGAAGGCACACUGCAUAGCAUUCUGUUGCUAUAUUCUUGAGAAACAUAUAUUGGACUUUAUUCUAGAUUCACACAAUAACCUCCCAGAGGCCACAGAAACACCUACACUGAACAUCAGACAGGCAAUAUGUGCAUGUGCAUGCAAGUUUUUACUGUUUGCUUUUGUCAGUAUACCCUUCUUUGUCAAGAUGAUUCCCAACUUCAGAUCAAUAUUCCCAGCUGUAUAAGCCAGUGGAAAAGCUGUUUCCUGGACUGCAUAUGCCAGGGGAGUCCAAUCGUCACCAGGUCCAUGGCUACAUCUAAUUUCAAUUAAGCAGUAAAAUUGCUGGAGCCAUGAUAACCCUUAACAGAAAGGAGUUCCCUACUCAGAGCACAUAAAUGCAUUGAGAUGACGUAUCACUGCAUUCAGAGAAGCACAGUUACCAGACAUGUUGUGGUCACUUGUAUGAUCCCAAAUUCUGCAUGUAACAUAGAAAACACACAUACUGUCUGUGCAUAAAAUAAAUGAAUAAUUAAA
ensembl:lncRNA